AUCACCUGGAAAUCUUGUUAAAAUGUGGAUUCUGAUUCAGCAGGUCCAGAGAUUCUGAGAUUCUGCAUUGCUAACAAGCUCCUAGGUGAUCCUGA
rnacentral:pre_miRNA from 1 species